rnacentral:rRNA from 1 species
UGGCCUACGGGACGCAGCAGUGAGGAAUAUUGGUCAAUGGGCGAGAGCCUGAACCAGCCAAGUCGCGUGAAGGAUGACGGCCCUACGGGUUGUAAACUUCUUUUGUCAGGGAGCAAUUGGGUCCACGCGUGGGCUUAGCGAGAGUACCUGAAGAAAAAGCAUCGGCUAACUCCGUGCCAGCAGCCGCGGUAAUACGGAGGAUGCGAGCGUUAUCCGGAUUUAUUGGGUUUAAAGGGUGCGUAGGCGGGACCUUAAGUCAGCGGUAAAAUUGCGGUGCUCAACGCCGUAGAGCCGUUGAAACUGGG